rnacentral:rRNA from 1 species
GACGAACGCUGGCGGCGUGCCUAAUACAUGCAAGUCGAACGCUUCUUCCCUCCCGAGUGCUUGCACUCAAUUGGAAAGAGGAGUGGCGGACGGGUGAGUAACACGUGGGUAACCUACCCAUCAGAGGGGGAUAACACUUGGAAACAGGUGCUAAUACCGCAUAACAGUUUAUGCCGCAUGGCAUAAGAGUGAAAGGCGCUUUCGGGUGUCACUGAUGGAUGGACCCGCGGUGCAUUAGCUAGUUGGUGAGGUAACGGCUCACCAAGGCCACGAUGCAUAGCCGACCUGAGAGGGUGAUCGGCCACACUGGGACUGAGACACGGCCCAGACUCCUACGGGAGGCAGCAGUAGGGAAUCUUCGGCAAUGGACGAAAGUCUGACCGAGCAACGCCGCGUGAGUGAAGAAGGUUUUCGGAUCGUAAAACUCUGUUGUUAGAGAAGAACAAGGACGUUAGUAACUGAACGUCCCCUGACGGUAUCUAACCAGAAAGCCACGGCUAACUACGUGCCA